AUGAAAGCUAGGUCCCACCAAAGACAUGUCAGACGUGGUUCAAGAUACUCCCUCUUUUUACAGAAAAAGGCUCGGCUGGAGGGCACACGUUAGCCCCAUCCCAGGAGGAAGAAAGGCAAAACCGGAGGGAGCUGAGUUCCCAAACUCACCAACUAAGUGCGGCCACCUCCUUCCUCCCCUGGGAUGCCAGAAAGUGAGAGGAAGAGAGGACAGAAGUGUCAAAACUUCACACGUAGGGGAGACACCAAGGAGGAUCGGCCAGUGAGCUCUUUGUGGGCAAGACCAACAUCUCACUCCUGGAGGUGGAUCCAAGACCCAGCUCAGUGCCC